UACGUAGGGUGCGGAGCGUUGUCCGGAAUUAUUGGGCGUAAAGAGCUUGUAGGCGGUUUGUCGCGUCUGCUGUGAAAUCUCAAGGCUCAACCUUGAGCUUGCAGUGGGUACGGGCAGACUAGAGUGUGGUAGGGGGAGACUGGAAUUCCUGGUGUAGCGGUGAAAUGCGCAGAUAUCAGGAGGAACACCGAUGGCGAAGGCAGGUCUCUGGGCAUUAACUGACGCUGGAGGAGCGAAAGCAUGGGGAGCGAACAGG
rnacentral:rRNA from 1 species